GAUGAACGCUGGCGGCGUGCCUAAUUCAUGCAAGUCGAGCGAAUGGAUUGAGAGCUUGCUCUUAUGAAGUUAGCGGCGGACGGGUGAGUAACACGUGGGUAACCUGCCCAUAAAACUGGGAUAACCCCGGGAAACCGGGGCUAAUACCGGAUAACAUUUUGAACCGCAUGCUUCGAACUUGAAAGGCGGCUUCGGCUGUCACUUAUGGAUCGACACGCGUCGCAUUAGCAAGUUGGUGAGGUAACGGUUCACCAAGGCAACGAUGCGUAGCCGACCUGAGAGGGUGAUCGGCCACACUGGGACUGAGAAACGGCCCAGACUCCUACGGGAGGCAGCAGUAGGGAAUCUUCCGCAAUGGACGAAAGUCUGACGGAGCAACGCCGCGUGAGUGAUGAAGGCUUUCGGGUCGUAAAACUCUGUUGUUAGGGAAGAACAAGUGCUAGUUGAAUAAGCUGGCACCUUGACGGUACCUAACCAGAAAGCCACGGCUAACUACGUGCCAGCCGCCGCGGUAA
rnacentral:rRNA from 1 species